rnacentral:rRNA from 1 species
GACGAACGCUGGCGGCGCGCUUAACACAUGCAAGUCGAACGGAAAGGCCUGCUUUCCCUUGUGGAUUGCGGGUACUCGAGUGGCGAACGGGUGAGUAACACGUGAGUGAUCUGCCCCCAACUUGGGUAUAAGCCUGGGAAACUGGGUCUAAUUCCCGAUAGGACUGCAGGGUGGUGCCUGUGGUGGAAAACGAUUUUCUAGUGGUUGGGGAUGAGCUCGCGGCCUAUCAGCUUGUUGGUGGGGUAAUGGCCUACCAAGGCGGUGACGGGUAGCCGGCCUGAGAGGGUGGACGGCCACAUUGGGACUGAGAUACGGCCCAGACUCCUACGGGAGGCAGCAGUGGGGAAUAUUGCACAAUGGGCGGAAGCCUGAUGCAGCGACGCCGCGUGGGGGAUGACGGCCUUCGGGUUGUAAACUCCUUUCGACCGCGAGGAAGCCACCUGGUUGGAAGGGUGGUGACGGUAGCGGUAGAAGAAGCACCGGCUAACUACGUG